CCCGGUUCCCAGGCGGGUGCUGCUGCUGCUGCUGCUGCUGCGAGGCCGAGGACGAGCCGGCGGUCAGGCCGUCCAGCACCUUCCUGAUGUUGAAUUUCCUCAUGGUCGCGGCGGGGCUCCCCCGUACCCCGGGAGCCGAGCAGAGCGACUAGAGAAACCACAAGUUGAACACGGAACAGCUACCAUCAGCCAGGGCCCCUGUAUAGCUGCAUGAGGAAGAGCCAGCCACCAGCCCGAAAUACUUGUCCUAGAAUUUCAUGACUGAAUUAAAAGGAAAAGUGGGCUUUCCUGGUGGCUCAUUCAGUAAAGAAUCUGAGUGCAAUGCAGGAGACCCAGGUUCAAUCCCUGGUUCGAGAAGAUCCCCUGGAGAAGGGAAUGGCUACCCACUGCAGUAUUCUCGCCUGGAGAAUUCCAUGGACACAGGAGCCUGGCGGGCUACAGUCCAUGGAGUUGCAGAGCGUUGGACACGACUGAGCAACUAACACUUCUACUUACAAAAAAAAGCAGUGUGUUAACAGAAGCAUUAUCUUUAGAUUAUAGUUCCUAUGCCAUUCUUUGGGUUUGAAAUGCCCUGGCCUGUAUGUACGCUCUACUUUCAGAAACAGUAUUAAAUUUGAGCUGUAGGUCUGUUUUAAGUGCAGGAAAAUACAACUCCUUAACCUAAUAUAGGGCUUCCCAGAUGGCGCAAUAGUAAAGAACCUGCCACAGGAGUUUGAUCCCUGAGUCAGGAAGAUUUCCCUGGAAGAGGAAAUGGCAACCCACUCCAGUAUUCUGGCCUGGAAAAUCCCAUGGACAGAGGAGCCCGGCUGGCUAUAGUCCAUGGGGUCUCAAAGAGUUGGACACAACUAAGCACCCCGGCAUGCAACCUAAUAUGAGCCAACUGCUUUCAUUGACUUUUGAGUAAGAAGACUCAUUUUGGGUCCCUCCCCAGAAUUCAAAGCCAGGUGAGCAAGUGACUAUGAAAAAAUCACUAAGUACACAUAGGCGAGAACACAUUUAGAAUUUAUAAAACAGCUCUUCCUUAAAUAAGUUUAACCACUCAAGUUUGAGAUUUUAAAGUGUAUCAAUUUUUGAAUAAAUUAAGUAGGAAUGUUUUUCCUUAUUCUGACCAUCCCACCUGGAUUAUGUACAUUGCAGAUCACAGACAUCAACGAUUCUCAAACUUUAUUUUUUAUAACAGUUCCCUGAGUUGUGUACUGAAAGUGCACGUAGCCAAUCUCCUCCUCACCCAGUAGAUCUGGAGUGAGCUGGGGGAUCUGGCAUUUCUAUAGACAUCAGGUGAUUUGCAUACAGGUGAUCCAGCCAUCAUAUUUGAGAAAAACUGAUAAUUUUCAAAUAGUUUUGAGAGGAAAAACAGUUAAUGUUGUUAUACAUUAUACAUCUCUAAUUUUAAUACACUUCUAGAAACAUGUAGACACAGUAUAGGAGAGAAAAAAUAUUUUAAUCAAUUGGCAAUAUUAGGUUUGUCUGCCAGCCCCCAGAUGUCUAGCUGCACAUUUGUAAAUUGCAUCUCUCUUUGGGCAUUGGUACUUCAUUGUUAAGUGCAGGGUUAGGUGGUGUGUGGAGUCUAUUAUUUCUAAUGUGCCUUCCAUCUUAUAAUGUGGCUCUGUGCUUCGGUACAUCUGCUUUUCUUGGCUCCUGGGUUGGGUUUCACAUGAGCAUCAGGCCACUGCCUAGCAGCACUUGAGAAGAUCAGAGUGGAAAUAGAUGUUCUCAGUCUUGAUAAAUUUGGCCAGCAUCGUUUCUGAGAGUUCACACUUCUCUCUCCUGCCUUUGGAAGAAAGAAUUUGAUAGCAUGAAAAACAUGGUGGA